GGGACUUAGCUCAGUGGUAGAGUACUUGCCUAGCAUGCAUGAAGCCCUAGGUUCAAUCCUCAGUACCA
rnacentral:tRNA from 1 species